GUUGUUGUAGCUCAAUGGUAGAGCAAGUCACUGUUAAUGACCUGAUAGUGGUUCGAUUCCACUCAAUAACG
rnacentral:tRNA from 2 species